CCUACGGGUGGCUGCAGUGAGGAAUAUUGCGCAAUGGGCGAAAGCCUGACGCAGCCACGCCGCGUGCAGGAAGACACCCCUCUGGGGCGUAAACUGCUUUUGUACGAGAAGAAGGCGCCGCUCGGCGGCGAUUGACGGUACCGUACGAAUAAGGACCGGCUAACUCCGUGCCAGCAGCCGCGGUAAUACGGAGGGUCCAAGCGUUGUCCGGAAUCACUGGGUGUAAAGGGUGCGUAGGCGGGCCCGUAAGUCAGAGGUGAAAGCCCACGGCCUAA
rnacentral:rRNA from 1 species